UCUAUAUAGAUUCGAGCGAGAAUCAAGGCUGCUGCUGUUGCUGCUGCAGCUGUCGAUAGGUAUAGACGUGACUGGAAUCGUGCAAGCGGGAAUUAUUGCUACAAGCUUGGCGCGAAACACACGUCAAAACUCUAUAGACGCAUCGUGGCCGUGAUUGUUGUUGCUGCUACUGCUGUUCCUCCUCCUCACGAGGGUAUUAUAUUUUAACAAAUGAAAGAAGCGAUUAUAAUACCAACUUGCGAAUUAAUAGGAUUUUCCUUAGCUUUAAGGCUAUUAUACGUAAUAUUUUCCAGCUUUGCGCGAGGGACCAGAGAGAAAAGGCAGAGCUCUCGAGCGCCGCCGCCACCGCCACGAUGAAUGUAACUAAUCUGUAUAGCAACAUAUUCGCGUUACUCCAGCCGGGCCGCAGUCGUUGCAAGCUCGUUGCAAGCUCGCUCGCGCGCACCCGAGCUUUAGCGGCAAUUCGCAUCGAGUGUAAUAUAGUGCAGAUUUGGGCAAGCCGCACCACACGCACGCAUACACACACUUUACCCGGGGAAACUCUCCACAGGACUAUGCGCAAUUGAAAAUAAUCCCCGAGUAUCCGUGGCCUCGGCCAACUAAUUGAUAUUCAUGUAAUCUCGGGAAUUGACUUAUCAGAGACGAGGGAACACAAAGCAACUGAUGCGGAUUUACCCGCAAAAUCCAAUGAUGGUUUCAGAGGCACGGCUACACGACGCGCGAACGAGAGGGAAAGAAAGCCUUGACCCGGAAAGCGCACACAACUCGAGGCUAAGGGAUCAAAGGGUCAAAUAAUCAGAAAGAAAUCUCGUAUUCGAAACGAGGUAAAUAAACAUCCACACCGACGUCGAACUGAUUCAGGAGCUAGUACACGAUAAUCUUCCCAGAUAAAAGAACGAGACGCAGCAGCAGCUCGGUCGAGAGCUGCAAAAAAAGAGGGGAAGAAAAAACUCCAGGGAUUCGAGCUCGAGCGAGCUAUUGAAAAGUCCAAGAAAUGCGAAAAACAAACGAGAAUUGCUCGAGGCGUCUGCGGCAACCCUCAUAUAUACGCGCGUGCGGUCGCUCGGCGCUAUUUAACGCUUUAUUUUAGCAGCGUCAUGCAACCGUCUCCUAUAUUACUGAAGGAUUUGAAAGAAAAAUAAUAAAAAAAAAAGCCGCGAAAGAAGCCACGCUUGGAAGCAAACGUACGAGUAUUUUUUUUCACCCACCCUCUAUCUCUCUCUCUCUCUCUUCAGUAUAAAGAGGGAUAUCUCCGCGCAAUUGGUUCGUCGAAGACGCGCAUACAGCAGCUACAGAAUUUAAGCUUUUAAUCUUGGAAUGGAGCCCCGGGCUGAGUUCCAAAUUUUUCUCCGGAUAUCCUCUACGUAUACGCGAGCAUACCCAUAGCUGCACACGCAGCUAGCAAUGGGAAAACAUACA